UACGUAGGGGGCAAGCGUUGUCCGGAAUCAUUGGGCGUAAAGGGUGCGUAGGCGGCGGGGCAAGUCUGAUGUGAAAUCCCGGGGCUCAACCCCGGAACUGCAUUGGAUACUGCCUUGCUAGAGUACUGGAGAGGGAACUGGAAUUUACGGUGUAGCAGUGAAAUGCGUAGAGAUCAUGAGGAAGACCAGUGGCGAAGGCGGGUCUCGUGGACAGUUCCUGACACUGAGGCACGAAGGCCAGGGGAGCAAACGGG
rnacentral:rRNA from 1 species